rnacentral:rRNA from 1 species
AGCGAAUAAGCGCACAUGGUGGAUGCCUUGGCGGUCAGAGGCGAUGAAGGACGUGGUAGCCUGCGAAAAGUGUCGGGGAGCUGGCAACAAGCUUUGAUCCGGCAAUAUCCGAAUGGGGGAACCCACUGUUUAGGCAGUAUCUUUGAGUAAAUUCAUAGCUCAAGGAGGCGAACCUGGUGAACUGAAAUAUCUAAGUAACCAGAGGAAAAGAAAUCAACAGAGAUUCCCUGAGUAGUGACGAGCGAACGGGGAUUAGCCCUUAAGCUAGUAUGGUUUUAGGAAAACAAUCUGGAAAGGUUGGCCAUAGGAGGUGAUAGCCCUGUAUCCGAAAGGGCCGUACUAGUGAAGAUGAGUAGGACGGGGCACGUGAAACCUUGUCUGAAUAUGGGGGGUCCAUCCUCCAAGGCUAAAUACUCCUGACCGACCGAUAGUGAACUAGUACCGUGAGGGAAAGGCGAAAAGAACCCCGGAGAGGGGAGUGAAAUAGAACCUGAAACCAUGUGCGUACAAGCAGUAGGAGCCCUUAUAGGUGACUGCGUACCUUUUGUAUAAUGGGUCAGCGACUUACUGUUCGUGGCGAGCUUAACCGUAUAGGGGAGGCGAAGGGAAACCGAGUCUGAUAAGGGCGCAUAGUCGCGGGCAGUAGACCCGAAACCGGGUGAUCUAGUCAUGUCCAGGGUGAAGGUGCUGUAACAGGUACUGGAGGCCCGAACCCACUCCCGUUGCAAAGGUAGGGGAUGAGGCGUGAUUAGGAGUGAAAAGCUAAUCGAACCCGGAGAUAGCUGGUUCUCCUCGAAAGCUAUUUAGGUAGCGCCUCAUAUGUAUCCUCUCGGGGGUAGAGCACUGUUAUGGCUAGGGGGUCAUCGCGACUUGCCAAACCAUUGCAAACUCCGAAUACCGAGAAGGACUGUAUGGGAGACACACGGCGGGUGCUAACGUCCGUCGUGAAAAGGGAAACAACCCAGACCCACAGCUAAGGUCCCAAAUUCAUAGCUAAGUGGAAAACGAUGUGGAAAGGCAUAGACAGCCAGGAGGUUGGCUUAGAAGCAGCCAUCCUUUAAAGAAAGCGUAAUAGCUCACUGGUCGAGUCGGUCUGCGCGGAAGAUUUAACGGGGCUAAGCUAUGAACCGAAGCUUGGGGUGCAUAUUUUAUAUGCGCGGUAGAGGAGCGUUCCGUAAGCCUGUGAAGGUGAGUUGAGAAGCUUGCUGGAGGUAUCGGAAGUGCGAAUGCUGACAUGAGUAACGAUAAUAUGGGUGAAAAACCCAUACGCCGAAAGCCUAAGGUUUCCUUGCGCAACGUUAAUCGGCGCAGGGUUAGUCGGCCCCUAAGGCGAGGGCGAAAGCCGUAGUCGAUGGGAAGCAGGUUAAUAUUCCUGCACCUCGCGUGAGUGCGAUGGAGGGACGGAGAAGGCUAGGUGUACCGGGC